rnacentral:lncRNA from 1 species
CCUCAUCACCGACAAUGGCAGGCAAUUUGACAACCAACAGUUUAGAAACUUUUGCUCAAACCUUGGAAUUGAUCACCGUCUGACAUCAGUUUCGCAUCCUCAGAGCAACGGUCUGGCCGAGGUAACAAAUCGAAUCAUAUUGCAAGACCUCCGAACAAGAAUAAGCGAUGCUAGAGGUUCUUGGUCCGACGAGCUGCCUUCUAUACUUUGGACGUAUAGAACAACUCAUAGGACAACCACAGGAGAAACCCCUUUUAUGUUAGCUUAUGGCAUUGAAGCAAUGGUCCCAGUGGAAAUUAGACUGCCAAGCCAUAGGAGGCUCGUGCCAGAAACCUCGGAGCAUACAACUGAACAUCUUGAUCUCUUGGAAGAAGUACGGGAGCAAGCCGCUAUAAAAGUGGCCUCUUACCAAGCAAAGACAGCAAAACAUUUUAAUCGCAAAGUCAAGGCUCGGAGGUUCAGAGCUGGCGAUUUGGUCUUGAGGAGGGCCGAAGCAGCAGGCCACCCCCCAGGGAAGCUCGGGCCCGUCUGGGAAGGGCCCUUUGAGGUCAUACGACAGGUUCGCAAGGGAGCAUACAGCCUAAGAGAUACUUCGGGUAGACCCCUUCCGAGGCCCUGGAAUGCCGACAAUCUGAAAAUAUAUUACAAGUAAAAUUCCCGACGCCUUUGAGGAGAUUUUCUUUUUCUGCAUUUUAUUUCUAGUUUAGCGGGCCUGCGUGUCCAUGCAUGUUUUC